AUUGGAAAUCCUUUGAGUUGCUUCUCAAGGAUGAGCAAAGAAAGUAGAUUUUUUAGAUUCUAAAGAAACUAUCUUCUUUGCUCAUCCUUGAGAAGCAACUCCUUAUCCAUUAA
ensembl:miRNA ggo-mir-1255a ggo-mir-1255a